rnacentral:lncRNA from 1 species
CCUGGGGCAGGUGCGUAAAGGAUAUAGUAACAUGUUUGUUAUAUAGAUGAGACCGUUGGUUUUCCCGUUUGAAUGGGUUUACACUAGUAAUUUGGGGCCCUUUAUAGCUUAUUGUUUGGUGUGAGCCAAGGCUCCGUGUUGAAGGGCGUACAUUGACCUAUAAUGGUUUACUUUUAUAAAUUAUUAUUUGGAUGGAGAGCUGUCUCAUUGGCACUCACACCACAUUUUCCUAUAUCUAUUUGUAAAGUUUUUGUGCAAUGAGAAUAUUCUGAAUUAGAUACAGCCUCUAGCGCAACUUGUCCCAAUGCUCACUCUGAUAAAAAAAAACAAAAAAAAAAACAGACAAAAUUACACAUAAAACACAAACAAUUGUAUAAUCGAAAAAAAAAAAUUGACCCCCCCUUUUUGUUUACCUCCCCCCUUUGGAGAAAUUACCCUUAAGUAAAUCCCAGCCUACUCCUUUAAGGUAUGAUAUCUUGUAUUACAAUUUCAAUGCGAUCCAUACACUUUAACACAAGCUUUUGUCUGAAAACUGAAAUAUAAUUCUUGCAUGUAUUUGGUCAUUUUUUGGCCCCCGACUUCCUAAAUGUAUUACCCCCAAACUUAAUCCCUACCUUUCUUUUGUAGUAUUGAACCAUCUGGUAAAAUUU